GGCUGGUCUGAAGGUAGUAAGUUAUCUCGAUCGUUCAGUCACAGGUCUAACUGCUUAUUCUACUCUUUUCUCUCUUCUCACUACUGCAUUUGACUAAUCUUAA
rnacentral:Y_RNA from 1 species